rnacentral:rRNA from 1 species
GAUGAACGCUGGCGGCGUGCCUAAUACAUGCAAGUCGAGCGAAGAGGCGUGUUGCUUGCUUCUCUCGUGUUAGUGGCGGACGGGUGAGUAACACGUGGAUAACCUACCUCUAAGCCUGGGAUAACUUCGGGAAACCGGAGCUAAUACCGGAUAAUAUUUUGAACCGCAUGGUUCUAAAGUGAAAGAUGGUCUUGCUGUCCAUUAUAGAUGGCUCCGGGGUGCUUUAGCUGGUGGGUAAGGAACGGGCUAACAAAGGCACGGAUGCAUAGCCGACCUGAGAGGGGAUCCGGCAACCCUGGAAUGGAAACACGGGCCAGACUCCUACGGAGGCAGGCGGUAGGGAAUCUCGCGAAUGGGGCGAAAGCCAGACGGAGCAACGCCGCGUGGUGGAUGAGGGUCUUGGGAUCUUAAGACACUGUGAUUAGGGAAGACGAUAUGUGUAAUUAACUGUGCACACCUUGACGGUACCUAAUCAGAAAGCCACGGCUAACUACGUG